GGACGAACGCUGGCGGCGCGCCUAACACAUGCAAGUCGAACGAGCGAGAGAGAGCUUGCUUUCUCGAGCGAGUGGCGAACGGGUGAGUAACGCGUGAGGAACCUGCCUCAAAGAGGGGGACAACAGUUGGAAACGACUGCUAAUACCGCAUAAGCCCACGACCCGGCAUCGGGUAGAGGGAAAAGGAGCAAUCCGCUUUGAGAUGGCCUCGCGUCCGAUUAGCUAGUUGGUGAGGUAAUGGCCCACCAAGGCGACGAUCGGUAGCCGGACUGAGAGGUUGAACGGCCACAUUGGGACUGAGACACGGCCCAGACUCCUACGGGAGGCAGCAGUGGGGAAUAUUGCACAAUGGGGGAAACCCUGAUGCAGCGACGCCGCGUGGAGGAAGAAGGUCUUCGGAUUGUAAACUCCUGUUGUUGGGGAAGAUAAUGACGGUACCCAACAAGGAAGUGACGGCUAACUACGUGCCAGCAGCCGCGGUAAAACGUAGGUCACAAGCGUUGUCCGGAAUUACUGGGUGUAAAGGGAGCGCAGGCGGGAAGACAAGUUGGAAGUGAAAUCUAUGGGCUCAACCCAUAAACUGCUUUCAAAACUGUUUUUCUUGAGUAGUGCAGAGGUAGGCGGAAUUCCCGGUGUAGCGGUGGAAUGCGUAGAUAUCGGGAGGAACACCGGUGGCGAAGGCGGCCUACUGGGCACCAACUGACGCUGAGGCUCGAAAGUGUGGGUAGCAAACAGGAUUAGAUACCCUGGUAGUCCACACCGUAAACGAUGAUUACUAGGUGUUGGAGGAUUGACCCCUUCAGUGCCGCAGUUAACACAAUAAGUAAUCCACCUGGGGAGUACGACCGCAAGGUUGAAACUCAAAGGAAUUGACGG
rnacentral:rRNA from 1 species